GAUGAACGCUGGCGGCGUGCCUAACACAUGCAAGUCGAACGGAGUCCAGCCUUUAAGACCUUCGGGUCAAAGUGGGGACGUCUGAGUGGCGGACGGGUGAGUAACACGUGGGCAACCUGGCUCAUAGAGGGGGAUAACAGAGAGAAAUUUCUGCUAAUACCGCAUAAGCACACACUGCCGCAUGGCAGAGGGUGAAAAGAGGAUCGCUAUGAGAUGGACCCGCGUCUGAUUAGCCAGUUGGCAGGGUAAGAGCCUACCAAAGCGACGAUCAGUAGCCGAUCUGAGAGGAUGAACGGCCACAUUGGGACUGAGACACGGCCCAAACUCCUACGGGAGGCAGCAGUGGGGGAUAUUGCACAAUGGGGGGAACCCUGAUGCAGCGACGCCGCGUGAGUGAAGAAGUAUUUCGGUAUGUAAAGCUCUAUCAGCAGGGAAGAUAAUGACAGUACCUGAAUAAGAAGCCCCGGCUAACUACGUG
rnacentral:rRNA from 1 species